UACGAAGGGGGCUAGCGUUGCUCGGAAUCACUGGGCGUAAAGCGCACGUAGGCGGAUUGUUAAGUCGGGGGUGAAAUCCUGGAGCUCAACUCCAGAACUGCCUUUGAUACUGGCGAUCUUGAGUCCGGGAGAGGUGAGUGGAACUGCGAGUGUAGAGGUGAAAUUCGUAGAUAUUCGCAAGAACACCAGUGGCGAAGGCGGCGACCUGGGCCAAUAUUGACGCUGAGGUGCGAAAAGCGUGGGGAGCAAACAGGG
rnacentral:rRNA from 1 species